AGUAACUCGACUCUCGUAAUUCCUUUACAGUGGUGCCAACUGCAACACUCCCAGGGUUUUUUAGCCAAACAACGUAUUCACAUUAUCGGUUACGGCAUCAGGAAAUGCUAAUCUAAAAUUCCCACGCUGCAAGAACAGCAGGGGCGUAUGCGUGAUAAAAAAAAGCUACUGCUGUGUCAUCCAAACAAGUAACAGCCAUGGAAAUAGCACCACAGGCACAAAGAUGCGAGCGGGUGCCAGUGCCAUAGAGACUCACCACUUGUGUGAGUUCUGCCAUUGCCACAGGCGGCGCUGAGGAUGAAGACAGGCGGCGCUGAGGAUGAAGAUUUCGACUUUGCCUUGGCCAAUUACUGGCAGAGUACAAUUUGCCAAUGACCAUAUGACAACGGACAGAAGCCUACUUGGAAGAUAGAAGAAGCACAGCUUUGGCCCACUCGGUUAUAGACCAUCGUCCGGGGCUGACUUAGACAGGGAAUGUCAUUUGUUGUAAAUUGCAUUUCCUAUGUACUGCAAAGUUUAUCUACAAUUAUUUGCACUUAGCCAUUGAGGGUCAUUUUGUGUUGUAUUGCAGGCAGUGUUGCAGACUUAAUUAUUCAACAAGCCUCAAAGAUAAAUAAAGUUUUUAACUCA